rnacentral:tRNA from 1 species
GGUCUUAUAUUCAAUUAUGAUAUUAAAUUGCAAAUUUAAAGGUAGUAUUUAUACUUAAGGCUU